rnacentral:rRNA from 1 species
CCAGCAGCUGCGGUAAUUCCAGCUCCAAUAGCGUAUAUUAAAGUUGUUGCGGUUAAAAAGCUCGUAGUUGAACUUCUGCUGAGGACGACCUACCCACCCACGGGUGCGUGUCAGUGUUGACCGAGGCAUCCUCCUGGAUGCGGCUGAGCUUAAUCGUUCAGUUCGUUCCAGGACUUUUACUUUGAGGAAAUUAGAGUGUUUCAAGCAGGCUUUUGCCUUGAAUAUUUUAGCAUGGAAUAAUAAUUUAGGACUUCGGUUCUAUUUUGUUGGUUUCUAGAACUGAAGUAAUGAUUAAAAGGGACAGUCGGGGGCAUUCGUACUCAACAGUCAGAGGUGAAAUUCUUGGAUUUGUUGGAGACGAACUACUGCGAAAGCAUUUGCCAAGGAUGUUUUCAUUGAUCAAGAACGAAAGU